GACGAACGCUGGCGGCGUGCCUAAUACAUGCAAGUCGGGCGCAGGAAGCUGGCGGAACUCUUCGGAGGGAAGGCAGUGGAAUGAGCGGCGGACGGGUGAGUAACACGUAAGGAACCUGCCUCAAGGAUUGGGAUAACUCCGAGAAAUCGGAGCUAAUACCGGAUAGUUCAACGGACCGCAUGGUCCGCUGAUGAAAGGCGCUCCGGCGUCACCUUGAGAUGGCCUUGCGGUGCAUUAGCUAGUUGGUGGGGUAACGGCCCACCAAGGCGACGAUGCAGAGCCGACCUGAGAGGGUGAUCGGCCACACUGGGACUGAGACACGGCCCAGACUCCUACGGGAGGCAGCAGUAGGGAAUUGUUCACAAUGGGCGCAAGCCUGAUGACGCAACGCCGCGUGGAGGAUGAAGGUCUUCGGAUUGUAAACUCCUGUUGUCAGGGACGAAUGGCUCCGACCUAAUACGUCGGAGAAUGACGGUACCUGGUGAGGAAGCCCCGGCUAACUCUGUGCCAGCCGCCGCAGUAACAC
rnacentral:rRNA from 1 species